rnacentral:ncRNA from 1 species
GAGGUUGCACGACUUAUCAGUAGAAUAUCGGAUGUCCCGGAGACAGGUGAUGAUAUUGGAAAGGAGGGAGUGCCGAAGAGUAAACAGCCGGACUGUUUAUUCUGGGCAUAUGGUUAACAGCCAUAUGACUGUCGUCAAUUUGAUGAAGAGCUAAUUGAUGGAGAGCUACUU